UACGGAGGGUGCAAGCGUUAUCCGGAUUUACUGGGUUUAAAGGGUGCGUAGGUGGGUCUGUAAGUCAGUGGUGAAAUCUCCGAGCUUAACUUGGAAACUGCCAUUGAUACUAUAGGUCUUGAAUUGUCUGGAGGUAAGCGGAAUAUGUCAUGUAGCGGUGAAAUGCUUAGAUAUGACAUAGAACACCCAUUGCGAAGGCAGCUUACUACGGAUUGAUUGACACUGAGGCACGAAAGCGUGGGGAUCAAACAGG
rnacentral:rRNA from 1 species